rnacentral:tRNA from 1 species
AAGUGAGAAGCAAUUUUGCAUUUAAUUUCGACUUAAAAGAAGGGUGAAUAAAUCACUCCUUACUUA